CGGGGGGGGCAAGCGUUGUUCGGAAUUACUGGGCGUAAAGGGCUCGUAGGUGGCCAACUAAGUCAGACGUGAAAUCCCUCGGCUUAACCGGGGAACUGCAUCUGAUACUGGAUGGCUUGAGUUUGGGAGAGGGACGCGGAAUUCCAGGUGUAGCGGUGAAAUGCGUAGAUAUCUGGAGGAACACCGGUGGCGAAGGCGGCGUCCUGGACCAACACUGACACUGAUGAGCGAAAGCCAGGGGAGCAAACGGGAUUAGAUACCCCGGUAGUCCUGGCCCUAAACGAUGAAUGCUUGGUGUGACGGGUAUCGAUCCCUGCCGUGCCGAAGCUAACGCAUUAAGCAUUCCGCCUGGGGAGUACGGUCGCAAGGCUG
rnacentral:rRNA from 1 species